rnacentral:rRNA from 1 species
AUCUAUGGCCAUGCUACCCUGAACAAGCCUGAUCCUGUCUGAUCUCGGAAGCUAAGCAGGGUUGGGCCUGGUUAGUACUUGGAUGGGAGACCACCUAGGAAGACCAGGUGCUGUAGGUG